rnacentral:rRNA from 1 species
UACGUAGGGGGCAAGCGUUGUCCGGAGUUAUUGGGAGUAAAGAGCGUGUAGGCGGCUUUACAGGUCCGUUGUGAAAACUCGAGGCUCAACCUCGAGACGCCGGUGGAAACCGUAAAGCUAGAGUCCGGAAGAGGAGAGUGGAAUUCCUGGUGUAGCGGUGAAAUGCGCAGAUAUCAGGAAGAACACCCGUGGCGAAGGCGGCUCUCUGGGACGGUACUGACGCUGAGACGCGAAAGCGUGGGGAGCGAGCAGG